rnacentral:rRNA from 1 species
GACGUAGGAUGCGAGCGUUGUCCGGAUUUAUUGGGCGUAAAGAGUUCGUAGGCGGUUCGUUAAGUCUGAUGUUAAAGACUGGGGCCAACCCUGGGAGUGCAUUGGAUACUGGCGGACUGGAGUGCAGUAGGGGCAAGCGGAAUUCCAAGGUGUAGCGGUGAAAUGCGUAGAUAGUCAGGCAGAACACCUGGGGCGAAGGCGGCCGGCUGGGCCGUCCCUGACGCGUGAGGCGGCGAAGGCGUGGGGAGCGAACGGG